rnacentral:rRNA from 1 species
AUUGAACGCUGGCGGCAGGCCUAACACAUGCAAGUCGAGCGGAUGAAGGGAGCUUGCUCCUGGAUUCCGCGGCGGACGGGUGAGUAAUGCCUAGGAAUCUGCCUGGUAGUGGGGGAUAACGUCCGGAAACGGGCGCUAAUACCGCAUACGUCCUGAGGGAGAAAGUGGGGGAUCUUCGGACCUCACGCUAUCAGAUGAGCCUAGGUCGGAUUAGCUGGUUGGUGGGGUAAAGGCCUACCAAGGCGACGAUCCGUAACUGGUCUGAGAGGAUGAUCAGUCACACUGGAACUUAGACACGGUCCAGACUCCUACGGGAGGCAGCAGUGGGGAAUAUUGGACAAUGGGCGAAAGCCUGAUCCAGCCAUGCCGCGUGUGUGAAGAAGGUCUUCGGAUUGUAAAGCACGUUAAGUUGGGAGGAAGGGCAGUAAGUUAAUACCUUGCUGUUUUGACGUUACCAACAGAAUAAGCACCGGCUAACUUCGUG